AACGAACGCUGGCGGCAGGCUUAACACAUGCAAGUCGAACGGGUGUAGCAAUACAUCAGUGGCAGACGGGUGAGUAACACGUGGGAACCUUCCUAGGGGUACGGAACAACUCAGGGAAACUUGAGCUAAUACCGUAUACGUCCGUAAGGAGAAAGAUUCAUCGCCCCUAGACGGGCCCGCGUCGGAUUAGGUAGUUGGUGGGGUAACGGCCUACCAAGCCUACGAUCCGUAGCUGAUCUGAGAGGAUGAUCAGCCACACUGGGACUGAGACACGGCCCAGACUCCUACGGGAGGCAGCAGUGGGGAAUAUUGGACAAUGGGCGAAAGCCUGAUCCAGCCAUGCCGCGUGAGUGAUGAAGGCCUUAGGGUUGUAAAGCUCUUUUACCCGGGAAGAUAAUGACGAUACCGGGAGAAUAAGCCCCGGCUAACUUCGU
rnacentral:rRNA from 1 species